AUUGAACGCUGGCGGCAUGCCUUACACAUGCAAGUCGAACGGCAGCGCGGACUUCGGUCUGGCGGCGAGUGGCGAACGGGUGAGUAAUACAUCGGAACGUACCCUGUUGUGGGGGAUAACUAGUCGAAAGAUUAGCUAAUACCGCAUACGACCUGAGGGUGAAAGUGGGGGACCGGAAACGGCCUCAUGCAGCAGGAGCGGCCGAUGUCUGAUUAGCUAGUUGGUGGGGUAAAGGCCCACCAAGGCGACGAUCAGUAGCUGGUCUGAGAGGACGAUCAGCAACACUGGGACUGAGAGACGGCCCGGACCCCGACGGGAGGCAGCAGUGGGGAAUUGUGGAGAAGGGGGGCAACUCUGAUCCAGCAAUGGCGCGUGUGGGAAGAAGGCCUGCGGGUUGUAAAGCACUUUUGUCGGGAAAGAAAUCGCGCUGGUUAAUACCUGGCGUGGAUGACGGUACCGGAAGAAGAAGCACCGGCUAACUACG
rnacentral:rRNA from 1 species